GUAAAUGUGUAAUAGAAGCCAAAUAUGGAGCAGUUGGCUGCUGCCGCCACAGCUCAAGGAUCCGACUUCAUGGGGGGGGGGGGGCACCCUCUGGCAGGCGGCCCGGCGAGCCGCACAGAGCACGGCGAGCGCACGGCGCGGCUGCCGGCCGGCGCCCUUAACCCUUCUGUGCACCCGGCCGGAGCAGCGGUCCCUCCAGGGGAGGCCCGGUGCCUCUCCCUAACUACGGCUCCGGAUCCUGGACAUCGGCCUGAGGGGACUGUGCCUUCCAGGUUUGAGAAAGGGGCGGGGAAGUUGGGGCGAUGAGGUCAUUAGAGUGGUGACCGAUCGGUGCUCGCGCGCCUCCCCGGCUCCUUGCAACCUAGUUGGAGGGGACUGGGUGAGUGCAGGGUGCAACUCCGGCAACCGGGAGGACUCACCGCAACGAAUGUCAGGCUUCGGCUCCCACCUAGUAAAAUAACCAAGGAUGCAGGGAAGUCCGCUGAUUCUAAUCCCCAAGUGACCUUGGUGCCCCCCACCCCCGACCCCGGUGAGCGUCUAAGAGGACUCACUGUAUCCUCGCUGUUAACCCUCCAGCCCGUGAGCCCUGAGCAACCCCACUCCGGGCCCGCGCCUUGACUUGCAACUCGGGAAAGUUGUCAGGCUUCUUCAGUUUGCACUGGCGCCCUCACCUUUCCUGCCGGGACAAGCUGGCGACCUCCCGGCCCUUCUUUCUAAUUCUGCAGGUCUAGAAAUCUGCAGUAGGAAUUGAACGUCUCAGCUUUAGCCCUGGUAGCCGACCUGCUCACUCCUCUUGCAGCUAACUGGGGAUCAUUCAUUUCAUCGGAAGUGAGGUAACCGGUGCACCGAGCAUUCGAUGGCCGUUCUCACCGAGCCACGGCGAAGGAACUUCCCCUGGUCCCAGUAGCUAAACGCAGACGUGGAGUCCCCACCCGCCCCCCUCCGCUACACCACUGCCAGGUGUGAGCUUGGUGGGAAAGAACCUUCUCCGGAGGAGUGCACCUUGCCAACAGGUGUGGCACCCGGAGGAAGAGCAGGCGCAACCCUGCAAGGGUCGCUCAGUGCGGCGUUCUCUUUGCUGCAGAUAAUUCUCGAAGACCAGUAGGUGUCAGGCCAGCAUCUGACCUCUUUCAGGUGCUUAGAACUAAGAGUCUAGAAACCCGAUCCCUCGGUCUUGCAGGAAGCCACUAUUAUUGACUGUAAGCGGGGUUUGAGAGACCGUUUGGCUCCGUUUGCUUAUGACCUAGCAGUUAGUCACUGUCUGAAGCAGCGUACAGAAUCACCAAGAGAAAUGUGUGAGCUUUUAAACCACUGUGUUGUGGAGGCAGCACUUCAGAAGUUAAAAAAAAAAAGAAAAAGAAAAAGAAAAAGAAGCAGCAGCAGCCAUGGGGCGGGUGUAGGAUACGUAUCUAUUCUCAGGUUUUGAAAUAGCGUGCACACAUCCACGGUUACUUAAAUAGAACUACGACUGUUCCCUCUCACCCCGCUCCGUAACUUGUGUUGUUGUUCACUUAAAGAUCCCUGAUUGUUACACUUCAUAUGCUAAAGUGACAUUGUUGGUCUCAUUACAGCCUCUAGUGGACGGUUAACAGGAGUUUCCUUGUCAAGGCUCUGACUAGUUUUGUUUUCCCUCCUGAGCUUUAUCCAAGUGAAGGUUAAUAGUUCAGAGCUUAACUGGGUGGUAUCUCUAGCUCCUCUGGGUAAACUGUCUUUGAAAAGGAGCGGAAGCUUGCCGGCUUCACGUGGAAAAGGCGUGUAUGUAUGCUUUGUGCUGCAGGUAUUGUUACUGCUGGCCCGUGAAGCGACAAAGCUUCUGCUCUUCAUUUCAGUUGCAGACAGCUUUCAUAAAAAAAGCGAAAUUCAUCUAAAAUAUUUUUAUAACAGAAAAUAUUGGUUGCCAUGUUUUUGGCGUAACUGAGAUGUUUUUAUUCCAGCUCAUAAUCUGCAAACUGUCCAAUCCACCUCCAAUCUAUUUUUAGACGUCUUAGAUUUAGAGAAUUUUCAAGGGAAAAAAAACUAAUAUUGUAAUUAUUACGUUGUUGCAAGCAGUUAAUUUGCAUUAUUUUAACAACCUUAAACAUAUUAAAACACAUAAUUCAUAUUAGACUUAGUCAAUUAAUUUAAAUGUUCCCUGAAGAAUGCUAAAUAUGUGCAUUACCCACACAGUAAAAAUAAUUAAUAAGAAAUGUGCUGUUUACUUUCCUAGCCAUUAAGAUUAAAGCCAUAAACUAACUCUCUCUCUCUGGUCUGUGUGUGUGUGUGUGUGUGUGUGUGUGUGUGUGUGUGUGUGUAUGUGUGUGUAUGUGUCUCUGUUUCUCUCUCUCUCUCUUACACACACACACACACACACACACACACACACACAACUUACAGCUACUGCUUCCUGCAAGGUCCAACACAAACAUAAUACCCGUGAAACAGUUUCCUGAAAUGUUUUGUUUCCAGAUGACAAAAUAUCAAAUGUACCAUCAGAGGUAACAAGACAGGUUCUUUAAAAGCAAAAGUUCUCAUGCAAAUGAAAACUCAGUGGAAAAAGCAGAGGUGUCACGGUGGCAGUUGGCAGUUGUAUAGCGCCAAUCCCCUAAACCCAAAUCUGAUAUUAUAUUUAUACAAGAUGCAGCAAGCUUUGAAAUGGAGUCAAAUUGAGGAAGAAGGCCUGCUGAGCCUUACUCCUAACCUGUGUUAUGAAUUACUUAAACAACGUGAAAAGAAAUAUUAGUACCAUCUAUUCAUUUUUCUAAAGUUUUAUUUAUUUAGUGUGUGUGUGUGUGUGUGUGUGUGUGUGUGUGUGUGUGUUGUGUAUCCUAUCACUUUCCAAGUACUCCUUUGAGGCAGAGUGUCUACCUGAACCUGAGGCUCAUCUCUUCUAGACGAGGCUAGAAGCCAACAAACCUAGUCAUUGCUGCCUGUUUCUUCCCUCUUGCAGCAGAGCUAACGGGCGUGUGGGAUGCCAGGCUCGUUUGGUGAGUCCUGGAUCCACACUAGUGCUCUCAAGUCUCCAGCCAUGUCUCCUGCCCGCCUUCUCUCCAUGUCAGUGUUUUUGUCCCAUCUACUUUUGAAAGUUUAAAAUGGACUAGCAACCACACAUUAAGUCACAAGACUUUUAUAUUACAUUUCUGUGUUUAAAAUUGAAGUCUAAAAAGUAGCAGCACUUGCUGCAGCACCACCAGCCGGAGGACUUUAGACUUCCGAAUCAAGGCUCCUACGCCACAAUAUGCAGUCAGAGUCUGCCUUUGAACUGGCUACAAAGACUCGGCACAUCCCAGUAUGAAGAACACUGGUCUGUACUAUGCGGCUCUGUCUGGACACAUUUGGCCACGAGUACUGAACUUAAUUCUCCAAUGAAUUACCUUUAUGUUAAUUAUUUUACCAAUGAAAACAUACCACAUUGCACUUGGACCUCUGCAUCCUCAAAUUUAACCAGCUUCUUGUAGGAAAAAAAAAAUUUUUAAAGUCAUCCAUACUGAAUACCUAUAGACUUGCCCCUCAUCAUUGUUCCACAAAUAACACAGAAAAGCAAGUAUUUCCAUUGCAUUAGGUGUUAUAAGUAAUCUAGAGGACUUAGUUAUGCUAUAAACUUAAAUUACUUCUAAUGUAAAGCAUGUAGGAGGACGUGAAUAUGUGGUAUGCAAACACUAUAUAAUAUACUUGGACAAUCUAAGAUUUGAGUAUUUCAGAAAAACCCUAAAACUAGCCCUCCAGUUUGAGGGGUGACUAUCUACAUGUGAAGGAAAUGGUACUCUUUCUCUGAAGAGCCCUGUUUCAUCACCUAAAGAAACUGGUUAGGAGUGAGUGUUCUGGGGUCUUGACUAUGAAUGUCUUCUCUGAGGCAGUAGAGGGAGCACAGGAGUGCUUAAUACAACCAGUGUACACAGGGCCUUCCAAACUGUGACGGAUUUUUCAGUUGUAGUAUAUGUUUGCAUUGGAAGUAGCCUGUUAUGUCAUUCAGAACAAAACAAAACAAACAAGCUAGCAAACAUGAACUGCCUACCAGGUUACAGCAAUUGAAUAAUUGAACGGAUUGCAAAUUACCAUAAAAUAAAAGAUACAGGAUCCACUCAUUUCAAGUUCUAGGCUUGCAUUCUUCCGGUGGACCUCAGGAAUCCUGCUGGGGAAAGAUACCUCAUUGCCAAGAACGCAGAAAGCCCUGGUUUGAUGCUCAGCACCACACCGAGUGCAGCUGGCACACACCUGUAAUCUAGGCAGCAGGAUGGGGAAUUCCAAGUCAUCUUCCCUAAACUACAUAGCAAGUUCAAGGCCAACCUAGGAUACAUGAGAUGUCGUCUUAAGAAAAAGAAAGUGAAAGGAUUCCCUGUCCUGCUGACAUACUUCAAAGGUUAAAAGAGCUUGUCACCAAGCCUGAGGACCCAGGUUCAGUCCCUGAAUCCACAUGGUGAAAGAACAGACCAAGUUCAUGGGAGCACUUCAGUGUGAGUACCCCCUCACAUACAUCCUCACAGUAAAUAUGAACAUGAUAAAAUUUUGUUAAUGAAAGAAAAAGGUGCAUUAGUUUUCUCUGGUCAAAAAUAAUAAUUCUUCAGAAUAAGGCAACCCUGCAAGAAACUAAUACAUAACUUAAAAGGGAGUUAGUUCACGAAUAUUAUACUCAAAUUGAUUUUGAGUCAAACACACUGGUUAAAAAAUAGUUUUUGCCGUACUUUCAAAACUGUCUUAUUUUAGGCUGUUUCUACUGCUGGCCAUGAUGACUAUCAAUUUCUUGAUCAUAUUGCUGGAGUAUUUCAUGCUGUUCACAGUUCUCCUAUGUUCACCCUUAGACCCUACCCUGGGGUGGCUUUGGCACAUAGCAGAAGCCAAGAUUGAAAUGAGGAAACUACACAGUGAGACCUAGUUGAUAUUUAAUGAGUUAUCUAUUUAUCCUGAGGGUGGAUUUCAUUAUGUAGCCCAGGCUGGCCUUGAACCUCCAACCCUGCUAUCGGAGCCGAAGGAGUGCUGGGAUAAUAGCCAUACAUUAUUCUCCAGCUGUUAAGAGUGCAUUUCAGUAAGAGAUGAAGAAUAGAGCACCAGGCUUGGAGCCUUGGACCUGUGGUUCAGCAUUUGGGAAGUGGAGACAGAGGAAUCUAGAGCCCAGAGACAACCUUGGCGACGUGGCAAGUUGGAGGCUACUUGGGAUCUUAUCAUUAGAAACUGUGUCUUAAUUCUCAAGCUGCUCCAGACUUUGUCGUCCAUCAGCAGCGCUUUGCUUUGCAUCUAGUAUACAGUACAUAGGCCCCAAGAAUGCACUCUGAGGAAAACAUACUGGCCUACAAAGAGUUUAGAGUGUUACCAGUCUUACCUUUUAAAAAUAUAGAUUUUCACCGGGUGGUGGUGUUGCAUGGGAGGCAGAGCCAGGCAGAUCUCUGUGAGUUCGAGGCCAACCUGGUCUACAGAGCGAGAUCCAGGACAGGCAACAAAACAACACAGAGAAACCCUGUCUCAAAACAAAACAAAACAAAACAAAAGUGUAGAUUUUCACCAGGGUGAAGACGCUCACAGCUGGCCAGACACACCAGGCAAAGCUGAAAGAACUGAGAAUCCAAGACUGCAUUCAUUGAAGUGUUGCGGGGGAGCAGAGUAGUUGUGUAACUCUUGAGCAAGGUCAGACUUCGUAAACCAGACCACAAGUGAAGAUGAAAUACGUCUAAGUGCACCUCCUAACGAAGAACAUCGAAGUUGAAGUGAAUGAACAUGCAGAAUAGAAGACCCUGUCAGCUGGAAUGCCAGCCAAUCAAAUAGAAGAAGACAAAUUACUCACGCGUCCCCCUGCAGCCAAAAUCUUAUUCUGCCAGCUACAUGGUUGGGGGAGAGCUUUGCUUUUUUUUUUUCAGAUAUGAAGAGAAAUUAGUACUUUGUAAUUGUAAUAAAUACACGGGCAUAGAAUCCAUUCUACUGCAAUAGGCAACCGAGUUGUGUGAUCUGCUUCUUGUCCCAACCCUCUCUCUGUUUUAAAAGCUGGAGCUUAAAUACCAAUAGUAAGAGCAUAAGAUCCCAUCACUCUCAGGGCUAGCUUUUCCUGCAGUCAAUUUCAUAACUGCAUGGCUCCACCCCCUCCUGCUCAGCACUUCCUUUCCCCUCAAUACCCUCUCUCCCCCACCCAGCCAUGAAUCAUCUUGCCUUUAAAGAGACUGUGAUGACUCCGUGUGAACUUUGCUGGCAUCCUGUAUAUCCCUGUGCCAAAAACUGGGGGAGUAGUUCUGGGACAGAAACCAGGUCAGACCCUGAUUCAGGCUCAGAGGCAACAAGCUGGGGUGCUUCUCUGGUAAGAAGAGUGAGGAGUUAAUUUUUCCUAGUUCAUGGAGAUGAUUCUGAAUCCAGUAUCUUGGUUCACAAUCAGGUUCAUAAGAACCCAGUUUGGCCCUUUGUGCAGAAUGAAAUAUAUCAGAGGGAAAAAAAUGUUGGCUGAUCUUUUUCUGCAGUCAGGGCAGAAGAAUUUCUACCACAUUCGGCUCUUUGAUUUCUGCAGAUCUUGCUGAGAGUGGGGUUUCCAUAUUUGUGCGUUGGCAAAUGUGUCCAAUAGCUGAUUGCUCCUGAUAUGUAUUCCUAGUGCUAUCGUUUUCUUAUUUGUGCAUUCAUUAAAACCAGAAACAUGUUUGACCUUCCUCUCCUCCCCCUGCGGUGAUGGAAGUGGAAGAAACCCAGGGCCCUGUGAUCUCUAGGCAGGUGCUCAACCAGUGGGUUGCACCUCCAACCUUGUCCCUCGUUCUUCCUCUUCUUCUUCUUCUUCUUCUUCUUCUUCUUCUUCUUCUUCUUCUUCUUCUUCUUCUUCUUCUUCUUCUUUUAAUAUUUGAACACAGCAGAUAAAGUUGACAGUAAAGGCCUUGAGAUGUGACACCCUCCUAAAGGAGGUGCAGAGUAUGUCAGUGAAGUAACUUCAUACUCCGGUGAACACUUUCUCUUAGGAUGCAAAGCCUUACCUACCUGCCUUCCUUUCCCCCCUCCCCAACCCCACCUCCUUAGCCUAGAGACCUACUCCUCAUCUUUGAAGAUUGGGCUUAAGCACCAACACUUUAGUGAAGUCUUUCUUGAUCAUCCCAAGAGUCUGCAGCUCUGCCCAAUGUGUGAGUCAGAGCAGUGCUAUUUUCUUAUUCCUUUUAUUUAUACAAUAUUUUUUUAAACCACUAACAGAAGAUUUAAAAAAAAAAACUUUCAGGGCCAUGAGCACAGAUGGAGAGCGCGUCCUAUCUGAGGAGCAGAGCCGUCCUUAUCGGCAAGCUUCCUGUCGUACCCAAACACGUGUGGCCUUCGCCACUUUCAGCCUGUGAGCAUUUCUGCGGUAGCCAUUGCUCGGGGUCAGGGACUCUCUCUCACCAGAUGUGCUAGACCUGGCAUUUCCCCCGGCACUCCGUGGGGGUCAAAUUCAAUCCAAUCCACUCCAAAGUACAUUUAAAUCCUAAUCCCAGGAGCUAUGCGACCUGAUUUGGGAGUAGGGUUUGCACAUUUGCCUGGUCAGGAGGAGGUCUUCCUGGAUGAACAUGGGCCCUACAUCCACAAAGAAUGUCACCCUCGUAAGAAUACAAGACACCAACUCAGAGGCAGCCCAGGGCCCGGAGAAGAUGGAGACGGAGAUGGGAAAGACGCCGCUACGUGCCAAGAGUGCCAAGGCUUUUCAAUAAACACCAGCCACUGUAAGAGGAAGGAAGUCUUCUUCCUUACAGCCUUCACACGGAGGCUGAGCCCGAGACAAUGCUGAGUCCAGACUUCUGACCUCUAUAGCUGGGAGAGCAAAAUCUCUCAGGCUUCAAGCAAACCUGUCUGGUCACUUGUUACAACAGGCCUAGAUAGAGAACCUAUCCUUCUUCAGGGUCUGAGAUUUCAGGAUUGUUGCUUUUUUUUUCCUUGUUAUUUGCAUAUAUACCCCUCUCAUUUUUUUUUUUUUUUUAAGAUAUUCAUUGAAAGCCUGUUUUGAGUGUAUAUUUAAUCUGGCAUCCAUGAUAACAAAAAGAUGGCAUGGAACAGAAGAGUUACCUAGAGAGGUCUGGAGUCACCGACCCAGAAGAGACAAUUGUUGUCUCUGGCCUUAGACACAGGCUACCACAACAGGCCUCACAGAACACAGCAUGAUCCUGCCAGGCCUGAGGCCAAGUCAGGAACAAGGACUUUCACAGGGCUUUCUCAGCUCCCUCUGUUGGUCACCAACAGACACAGCAGCUGUCCUCCACAGACGUAUCAUGCUAGCUAAAGGUGCAGAGAAGAUAAUCAAUUAAAUUAGACAUGCAACCAUCAACCUGAGGCAACAAACAAACAAGACAAACAGAAAACCAAACAAACCUGUUCAUGAUAGCAGAUGUCUAUCUACAUCAUCAGAGCAGAGGGAUUUAUAUCACAUCCAGGCCUUGGACUUCUCCAGAUUUGGUCAUGGGUAGAAGCUUUUUUUUUUUUGUCUUUCUUCAGUACUGGAGAUUGAACCUAGGACCUCAUGCAUAAAAGGCAAGUGCUCUACUCCUGAGCUGUAUCUCCAACAUUGAUCCACAUCUUUCAAAGAGCAACAGCACAUCCCUGUCAUGAAUUCUCACCACCAGGCAGGAGACCUUACCAUCAGGUCCCAGAUCCUGAGGUAGCUACUGUGUUGGCAUAGCUGUGACAUGUUUACCACCGCUCUUACAUCUUAGAAAAUGGCAUCUAUAUCUUUUCAGUAUUCAGUCCCAAAGCUGCUGGAGUUAUCUCCUCUGCUUUCUUAUUGGUACCUCACAUCCAAGCUGUCCAUUGGAUUGAGCUGGCUGGACCUUCAAAUAUGUCCAGAGGCUAGCCAUUUCUCACUGCUGAGAUUGCCACCAUCAGAGCUAACCCAUCACUAGGAGCAUUGCAAUAGCCUCCCAUGGUCUCUUUGAUGUCUCUGUUUCUUGGCCCAUUCUUGGUCUCCAUCUUGGUCCACUAGGUGAAGCUGGUGAGUCUGUAGUGCUCAAAAGCCUUUAGAGCUGCUUCUUUAUACUCAAAGGCAGGUCACAGCACGUCCAUGUCUACCUGACUCCCCAUGAUCUCAGCUCCUCUGACCUCCUCUGUCACCAUCAUUGCCCCAACACCUUCAACCCCGCUGAUCUACAAAGAAGCCAGGCAUGCUCUGCCAUGGGGCCAGGUUUUCUCCUGUUGUUCCCAUUUCUGGGAAUGCUUUCUCCUUAGAUAGCCAUACCUGCCAGGGUUCCAUCUUCUGUAGUCUGUUUUCCCUGAGAAGCCACCAUCAGGGUGGCAUGUUUUGACAUGACAUACACAUUAGUUGUAUCCUUUCUGCUUCUUUGGGUGGUUAUUGCAUGGGUGUAUUACCUCAUGAUCUACACCAUUAAGUGUUUGUUAUUUGUUUAUUGUCAGGAAGGGAUGGGUUUUUGUCAGUAUCUGCUGGGAUUGUUCUUGGCUGAUGACAGAUAUCCAGUAAAUAUCCACUGAUUCUUAAAUAACUUCAUGAAUCAAUAAGUAAUAUUUUCCAGGACCUACUAUGGGCAAUUGCCACCCAAUGCUGACCGAAGAUUGCAUCAUUAGAAGCUAAUCCAGGACUAGGUCUGUAGCUCAGUGAUGAGACCCUGGGCUCAAUAUCCAGUUCCACCCAAACGACAAAAACUAAGCCAAAACAAAUCUACUGUGCCCAGGCUAUUUGCUUGUUUUUUUGACUCACUUAUAAAAUGUAUGACCAUUGAAGCUGAGUUAUGGUGACAUGGGUCCCAGGCUCAGAGUCCAGUUUAUAAAGACAUUUUAGAAGAAUCAAAAUUCAAAAAUAGGAUCUGGGCAGGGAUCUAUCUCAGUGUUCAAUCUAGCAUUCAAAAUCUUUUUUUUUUCUUCUUCUAUCCUGAGCACCCAGGAAACCAGGUAUAAUGGUUAUAAUCACCUGUGGAGGAGGUCAAGGUCAUGGGAAGUUUGUAACAUUGUAAGUGACAUAGUAAGUUUGGGGCCAGACCUGGAUACAUGAGACCUGUCUCAACAAAACAAAAGUCCAGGACAAUUUAUAAUUAUGACUGUAAAAGAUUCUGUUGACCGAGUUCCCGUGUGGUGACAGGCUCCCUCCUGGGGACUUUGCUGAUGUCAUUUCAUUUAGUCUCCCAACAGUGCACUAAGGUUGGGAUCCGAAUCCUCACUUCCUAGAGUUUCAAAGACUGCUCAAGGCUCAGUGUUUCUAGGGUAAGUAGAUAUCAUUGGAGCUUGAUGUUUAACAGGCCAUUACCUGAAUGAACUAGGACUCUGAAGAUGAUUAAAAAUACUGCAUUGCACUAUUUUGGCCAAGAGAUCAUUUCCACUACCUCUUAAGGCUUGAAUAUAAAAUGCCCCACCUACAGGCUCAUUUGUUUGAACACUUGAUCCCCAACUAAUGAGACUGUUUGGAUGGCUGUGGAGCCUUCAGGAGCUGUAGCUUCCACAGAGUAAGUGGGUCACUAAGGGUGGGUGGGUCUUGAAAUUUCAUAGCUCAAUCCAAUUCCAGUCUGCUCUUUGCUUCCUAAUCCACCAAGAUGUGAGGCAGAUGUACCCAAGUUCCCUCCACUAUAGUCAGGACCUCCCUCCCCAGGCUCCAUGCCUUCCAUGCCAUGGUGGACUGUGUCCUGUGAACCAAUGAGAGAAGAAAGGCUUUCCUCCUGAACUUGUUUCUGUGGGAUAUUUUGCCGUAACUAUGAGAAAAGUAUCUGAUACGAUGUUUUGUUUGUUUGUUUGUUUGUUUGUUUUUGAAACCAAGACUCAGACUGUAGCCUAGACUGACUUUGAAUUCAUGGUGAUUCUCCUGCAUCCAUCUCCUGCUGGGAUUAUAGGUGUGAAGUACCAUCACAAUGAGUUUUUAAGUGACUGACACAUGUAUCCCAGAAAUGAAAACUAGAGACUCUCGGUGAGGACGGAAGUAUUUUUCCAGAUCAACUGACAUCAUGUCCCAACUAACAAAACUCAACAACAGCUUUUGAGUUUUGCCUAUGGGAGUGCAUGGAUAGAAGCAGCUCACACUUGAUGUUCCUGCGUCCUUCUCCAGGCUUCUCUCCCAGCUAAGUGGUGUGUCUUAUCAGAGCAGUCCUCUGUGGUGAGGACUGAGUACAUUGAAGGGGACCAGUGUGAAUUUCCAAGCCUCAUUUCAAUAUACAAUCCCAUUUAAGUUGACUUCAUUCCGCCUUUUUUUCUUGCUCCACCCCAAGCUUUACAGAGUUCUCAGGAACUGGAACCUAAGCAAAAGCUGUAGAAGUCACCUAAGUAUAAAACACUAUACACUUUUUGUAGACUCUUUCCAGUUUUUUAUGGGUAUGGGUAUUUGGCCUGCAUGAACAGAUAGGUGUACCACAUACAUGCCUUGUGCCAUGGAUACCCUGGAGCUGGAGUUACAAACAGUUGUGAGCUGCCGUGUGGAUGCUGGGAAUUGAAACUGGGUCCUCUAGAGGAACAGCCAACGCUCUUAACCACUGAGCCAUCUCUCCAGUCCAACUCUUUCCAAGUUAUACUUAAGAGAAAUGAUUAGAGAAGCUGGAAUUGUUCCAGAGUUCAACAAUCUUGGACAGGGAAGGAGGAUGAGGAGGAGGGCAAGGAGGAGGAAGAAAGCCUUGCAGUUUCAGAGAGUCCAGCUCUCUGGAGUUGGAAGGAAGCUCAAAGACCCUAUUUGUGGCUGCAGGAGAGAAAAAGAAGAGAGUUCCACAAGGCAACUACCAACAGAUGGUAAAUACAUUUUUAAUUCUUCUGUCACACUGUGCGGACUUGUGCACGUUUGUCCCGCUGGGUUAGGUGCCUGAAAUAGCUGCCACGGACCUGCAGAAGAGCACCACAGCAAUCGGAGAUUCGGGGAGCCAUGAGAGCUGACAAACGGGAGGGGUUAAUAGAACAGGGUGAGCUUGCUCCCAGUCAGUUCCUCCUCAAGUUGCCUGCUGCCGCUGUCAGUGCAGGACAUUCUCUUGUAUCUCCGGUCUCAUGGAUGAUAUUUCAAAACAUCCUAUCUCAAACCAUUCUCCAGGCUCUGCUUGAAAUUAUUACAUGUUGACACUGUUCAUUUAAUGACUCCAAAAGUUAUAGGGAGCAAAGACUAUUGAUUGACAGGUCCUAAGUCCUCAAGAGGGUGUCACUGAUACCCAUGGUAGUCCAGACUUCUUCACCUCAUCUUCUUCCGAAUCUUAAUCGGAUGGCUUGUUCCCAUGUAACACGGUAGAAAUUUCAGUUCCAGAACAAGGAGCAAUUAGAUCAUGGAUUGCCUGUCAAGGAACCUAAAACUGUAGUGUUCUAAUUUACUGUCUGUGGACUCUGGUUCUAAGAGGUGCUGGCAGACCGUCACCAGGAGUGAGUUAGGUUACCAACCCUGACAUCAUCUCUCGGGGUAUAUCAAUGGAAAAGGAAAUGUGGUGCUGAGCCCCCUGAGAGGCAGAACAAUGAAGUAUGGUUGAUAACUUAAUCACAGACUAAGAAACAGAACACAAUACUGUAACAUUAGGACUGUAUCCCUAGAAAACCCAGUUUGAUUUUUAUUUUAUUUUAAUUUAUUUUAUUUUAUUUUAUAGACAUAAAUCUGGGCCAAAGAGAUGCAGGAAAUUGGGAAAGAUCAUGCAAUUAGUAACAUACUGAUGAAUUCAACAGUAGAGCCAAGGACACUUCGGUCUCCCCAUCCCGUUUUAUCUCCUUUAGCAAAGAAGUUUGGCUUGGCUGUGACACCCUGUAUCUGAGGCUAGGUGACCUUAGUCAUAGCAUCUUUUGUAGUUGGGUUCUAAAUCAGGAUGAAGGAGUCUGUGACUCCUGAUAAUUCUUUAUCAGUAAGGUUUCAAGCUAAAAUAUAUUUGUUAAUUUCUGUCCUAAACCCCUGUGGGUUAUGUCUGGGUUAUACAGCUAUGGCACUAUUGGACCCAGCUGGGCCCCUCUUUUCAUGAAGUAGCAGAGAAUAUUACUAGAUAAGAAUUAAAGGCAUUGGCGAAGAGAGUCUAACACUUGCACACUGGCUUCCCAGGCAGGACAUGGUUGGUGGGAGAACUUCUCCCAGCUCCUGUUGGGGGCAGGAAUGGCAGGCACUGUCUUAGUCACAGAAAGCAUAGCAAGAUCACUCUACCCCUACUCAGUCAGGGAAAACAUAUAGUAUAAGUUUCUCUGAGAUUAAACAGGUUGUCACAUAGAUGACUUUACAUCUUCAUAGUUCCUCAGCAAGGUCUCUUCUUAGUCAACCAUCUUUAUCCCACAUAGCUAAUUUAGGAAUGAUGAGCUCCUAAUUCUUGCAAUUCUAUCCAGAAUUCUGAUUUUGUCUUUCCUGCAUCUGAUAUCAACAAUAUUUUCUCCUGUUUCUGUGGUAGAAUCUCCUAACCUGUUUUGUUUACAUAGGAUAUUCUUUAUUGUAGAGAAUCAAUGUGACCUUUUGAGUAGACCUAUUAAGUUUAUUGGCUACUUCCAUAACCACAUGGCAGAUAUGGGGCUCGGGGAGGGUGGGAAUCAUUUUUACAGAGUUAUUUUCAGUUGAACAGUAAUGAAGGCACACUUUAAAUUAUUUCAUGCCUGUGAUCCAAAUUUGAUUAUCUAGUUAAUAUCACUAGGGACAAUUGAAGCUUUAAUAAUUACACCCAGGAUCUUGAAAAAAAAAGAAUAGAAAAGAAAAUUGUGUUUAGUACAUUCAUUCAUACACAGCCUUGUAGACUUAGCAGCUGAUAGCCUAUCUGACGGCCUGAGAAAUGAUCCUAAGAUUCCAUCUUGUGAUCCAGUUCAGUUGAAACUAUUUCAAAUGAAACAAAAGCUAGCCAUAAACUAUUGUUUUUUUGUAGAAGGGUGGAACAGUUUUUAUUUGAAAGAGUAAAAAGCACAGGCUGCAGUUGGUUGUUUUGUGUUUGUUUGUUUGUUUGUUUUACUGUUGAGGAGCCCACCACCCAGCUCCCAAAUAAAUACUUGGAGACUUAUUCUUACUUGUGAAUGCCCGGCCUUAGCUUGGCUUGUUUCUAGCCAGCUUUUCUAACAUAAAUUAACUCCUUUUCUUCUUCUACAUUUUGCCUCUGGGCUUUUUACCUUUUUUUAUUCUCUAUGUCUUUCUUUCCUUCUUACUCCAUGGCAGGUUGUGUGGCUGGGUGGCUGGCCCCUGGUGUCUUUCUCUCCUCCUCUUUUUCUCACUCCUCCCUCUUCUUUUCUCUUCUAUUUAUUCUCUCUUCCUGGCAGCCCUGCCUAUUUCUCCUGUCUAGAUAUUGGCUGUUCAGCUCUUUAUUAGGACAAUUGGGUGUUUUAGGUAGGCAAAGUAACACAGUUUCACAGAGUUAAAUGCAACAUAAAAGAAUGCAACACAAGCUGGGUGGUGGUGGCACAUGCCUUUAACCCCAGCACUUGGGAGGCAGAGACAGGCAGAUCUCUGUGAGUUCAAGGCCAGCCUUGUCUACAAAGCAAGUUCCAGGACAGCCAGAACUGUUACACAGAGAAACCUUGUCUCAAACAAACACAAAAGAAUGUAACACAUCUUUGCAUCAGUAAACAAAUAUUCCACAGCAUGAACGAAUGUAACGUAUCUUAAUAUCCUACAACAACAGGCUGUUGGAUUCACCUUUCCUUGUGGAAGACAGCUUUAUAAUUAUUCCCUUACAAAGAUCCGAGGGCAGGAUUCUUCAUCCCAGUACAGGUUCCAGUAUGAAACAACACAGUAUUGAAGUUGCCCUGAAUUGUAGGCCAAGGGCUCAUCCUGUGGCAGAAUGCCAUAUAUAUCUUUGGAUUUUCAGGAUCCUCAGAAACCAAUCAACUUCCCAGAGAAACUGAAAUCCUCCAACAUCUCUGAUUUACAUAAAAGCAGAUAGUCUGAGGAUGUGAUACUACUUAGGAUUCUGGGUAGCAAAUGGAAGAAGAAACUCAACUGGAAACCACAGUUAUCUGAGUGUCAGAGAGAGCCUCAAGGCUAUCACAGACACGUCAUGACACAUGACCUCUGCCUAGAGGUUCCACACAGUCUGUGAGUUGAAGAAAGGAGUAAAUGAGUUUCCUGACACCAUGCUUUGCUUCACGAAAGUAAACUAGCUAGUGCACAGGGCAACACAGAUCACCCUCCUAGUGUUGGAAGACUGGAGACCAGAUGUAAGGUUUUAUUGGCUACGUUGUUCCUAUUGGUUUAAAAAGAAAAAGUCCAAAAGCAUACAAAACUCUCAUGCUGGGGGAAAGUAUGCUGUGUGUCUUUUUCUGAGGAGACCUAGCAAACAUCUGUUAACCCCAGAUGGCAGCAAGUCAAACCAGAGACAAUUAUACUCAAGUCUAGCUGGAGGAAAUUUAGGAAGUUUAUUGGGGUUACUUAUGGGAGCAGGGGUGACUCAAAGGCAGUUAUAUUACCUUAAGAAACCCACCCCAGCAUGAGUGUCAGUUCACAAACCUGCACCCUUGGAGCUCCUUGUACAACGUGCAGUUGGGUCCAUGUAAGAGGGUCUCUUCCUCCAAUCAGGCUGCCUAAACAUAAAAGGCUUGCGUGAGUAUAGGAAAGGGUGUGUGAAUCUUGGGACUUUCCCCCAGCCUCUGUGAGUCUCUAUAAUGUUCUGUGGAUUGUGUGCCUCCCUUCUCCUCCAAAAGGGAGUGUUUCAUUUGGAAGAAAUGGCUGUUCAGCAGAGUAUAUCCAUUUUCCUUUGCUGACAAAAGUAACUUGGGAUUUGAAGGCUAUGCCAGUGCUCAGAAGUUCUAUUUUGAUCUGUGGGUGGUUAUCCAGGGGUGCCCACUGUGUGAUAACCCAUUCAGCCAUGUAUGUGUGAUUCAUAUUUUCCACAGAGUGAUUUGUGUCAAUUAGAAGGUUUAAAAAAGAAUAUCCCCAAUGGGCAAUAUAAUUCUUAAAAAGUUUUACAGUAGCAUUUUUCCUAAUUAAAUAAAUUGAUAUUUACAAAAGAGGAAAAUAGAAAACUUGGACUAAAAAAAGAGAGAGAGAGAGAGAGAGAGAGAGAGAGAGAGAGAGAGAGAGAGAGAGAGAGGUGCUACUUGUCCCCAUUAUAAAGCAAUGGAAACUCUCAGACACAGGAACUGCUACUAUGUUCUUGGUGCACUGUUAGGUAUUAUCUACUAAAAGAAAAAAUACCCACAUCCAGUGCAUGAGAUGUGAACACCAGGGUGCAUAUCUACCACAGGAACAGUGCUUCCUUUCAUAACAGCCAGACACAGGAAACAAGUGAAAACAUCCACCAGCGAUAGAUAUUAUAAAACGUUGUUUAUCCAGCUUAGGAAUACCAUACAGCACUGGAAAUGAAGGGGAGAAAAAAAGAAAUUCAUAGGCUCCCAUGUAUAGAGGGAGGUGGGAAUCUGAUUCAGUGGUUACAGCACUUGCCACUCAAUCACGAGAACCUGAGUUCACAUUCCCAGAACUCAUAUAAACCCUGGAUCCAUAUGCAUCUACCAUCUUCACGUUCCUGUGGGGAAAUGGAAGACAGAGACAAGAGACUCCCGAGAAGCUCAGGGGCAGCUGAUUCAGUGCACAGAACACAGUGGAAGAACAGUAAGAGAGCCUGUUUCAAACAAGGUGGGUAAGGAGUGACAGCUGGCCUUGCCCUCUGAUACUACAUAGGAAGACUGGCAUGCAUACACUCAUAAACAUAUGUAAAAUUAAAAAACCAGGAAAAUACUUGUUACCAGUGCAUACUUGAGUAGUAAAACUAUAAUGCAAAAAGGAAAAAAAGGAGGUAGGAAGAUUAGCUUAAAAAUAGAGAAGAGUGCCCCCAAGUCAUGAGAGUGGGAGAGCUGGCCCUGCCUCUCACCAACUGCAGCACUCAGGAGAGCAGCCCUACACCACCUAGGCAGUACAGUAGAGCUGGCCCUGGUGGUGUGGGUGCAGGUGAGCUGGCCCUAGGGGCAUAAGAGCAGGAGAACUGCCUCCACCCCUCGCUGCCUGAGGCACUGAGUGAGCUGGGGUGUAGGGGGGGUGGGCAGUACUGGAGAGCUCACCUUGGUGGUGAGGGUGAGGGAGAGCUGGCAGGCUGACCAACCCAGCUACCACCCAGGCCCAGAACCAGAGUUAUGAUUUGGCCACCCUAAUAUCCACCUCAUCUGUGAACUGUGGAGCAUGUGAAACUACAGGAUCUCCAUGACACAGGACAACAACAGCAUAUUCAAGAGGAGCCCCAUUGAGGGCCCAAUAUUGAUUGCGUAGCAGAAGCCAAAGACCUCAAACCAGACCAACGACUCAUUGCAAUGAACAGUUGUAAGUAACGAUGUAUGGACUAAAGAGUACACUGUGUGACUCACUGUGGCACACUACAGCUUCCAUGCCGAGGAGAAAAACUUCUGGGGCAUGUCUGUGAGGAGGUUUCUAGAUUGUGUUAACAAAGUGAGGAGACUCCCCUGAAUGUGGACAGCACUGUUUCUGGACUGGCAUCGUGGACUGAAUAAAAAAAGGAGAGAGUGAGCUGAGAGCUAGCAGUCAUCAUUGAAGCUUCCUGACUGUGGUCAUGACGUGGCCAGCUAGCUCACGUUCCUGCUGCCAUGACUUCCCGAGGAUGAUAAACUGCCCUCUCACACUGUGCGCCAAUAUGAGCCCUCCCUUCCUGAAGUGACGUUUAUCGAGUGUUCCACCACAACAAGAGAAGUAGCCACAACAAACAGUAACCAAGACAACCCUAAAGUAGUUCUGUUGCUUUUCCUUGGCCCCAGGAUGUCACGCCAUGGUGCUUCUGCCCUGAGCUUGACAAAGGCACUUGACAAAGGAGAGCACAUUUGGGUUUUGCCAUCUUACUCUGUCUCUUCUGUGAAUCUAAGCUCUUUUGUUUUUUUUCUGGUGCUCAUUCUGGAAGAGAAAAAAAGGAGUCACACAACGUCACUGGAAGAGGAGAAAAAGAAUAAAAGGUGGUCAGAUGUGAUGCUGGCAGGACUGGACGGGGGGACUGGACAGAGAACAAAGUGUGGAGCCGAUGAAAUGAGUGCAAUUGGAGAGACCCCACCACUUUAGGAAACUACAGGGAUCGGCAUCGGUGGGGAAUCCUAUGAGAACUUCAGAACCUUGUCCCGGGACUCAAAUAUACCCAAUCAGAGCCUGCAUUUCAACAAGAGUUCCAGGGAUUCUUGUGCAUGGUUGUGCCAAGGCCAGAACUGAUUGGUAUCACUAGCCUUGGGCAUGUUCACAGAGGGAACUGGUUUGGCUGCCGAGGGACCUGGAAAUCCCAUUACCAUAGAUGACUCCCACUUUUGGUGUUCUCUCUAGCACCCUGGAGAAAGCCUGUAGUACUAUCUGUCUUAGUUCUCUGUAGAGACCUGUGGACCUCUGCAAUCUUGGCCUGAGACUUGCUUCUCUCCAAACUGCUGAGAUUCCUGUAGAAAGCAGAUGUGACCUCCUCCUCCUUUAGGGAGAGGCCAGCCAUUUCUGAACUGAUAACCUGAAGCAAUGCCUGACCAUGACUGUUGUCAUCUGGGCUUCAUUCAGCACCGUACAUGUCUACAGAUGGGCUUCCAAACCGCCAAGUCACCAGGUCCACCUCGACUUAAGCAGGUUUCGGAUCACCGCACACUGGCCCACCCAACUGCCCCCAGAGGAUGGUCAGUGUAUCAGGUUCCUUGGGUCACUGUGACAGGGUGCUUGACAGAUAAGUAUAAGGGAAGAAAGGUUUCUAUGGACUCACAAUUUCAGAGGGAUUUUAACCCACCGUGGUAAGGGACACGUGGUAGCAGAAGCAGCUCUGUUUAUAGAGGCUAGAGCGUGAGGUAGUGAUUGGAGUUCAGAAGACAGAAAGUGCAGGACUGAACCAGAAACAAGAAUAACUUUGACUGGCCCAAGAUCCCAAACAUUCUACAGUGUCCCUAAGCAACACAACCAGCUGAGGGCAAGUGUUCAAUCACAUGGUCCGUGGGGGGUACACUUCACAAUCACACCAGAACUGCUGGUGUCCCUUUUGGUUGCUGAAUAUUAAUUAGCUUUGUCCUCUUCCCACCGGCAGGUGCUACUCUUGACCCUGCAGGCUCUGUACUCAGCGUCUCCUACAAAACAGGAAGAGUCUAGUGGAAACCAAUACAAGCAGUUCCACAGCACCUUGUCUCUCUUAGCAUCAGUGACUCCAGGACCCCGUGUGCCUGUUUCUGCAAGGCCAUGAAAUUCCAAAGAUUGUCUUUUCUGCCCUUUAAGUUAAAAGCAGCUUAAAAAUAAAAGAUUGCAUAAAACCA